rnacentral:rRNA from 1 species
CCGAUAGCGAACAAGUACUGUGAAGGAAAGGUGAAAAGAACCCUGAACAAGGGAGUGAAAAAGACCCUGAAACCGUGUGUCUACAAGCGGUCGGAGCCUACGGGCGACGGCGUGCCUUUUGCAUAAUGAUCCUACGAGUUACUCCUCAUUGGCAAGGUUAAGAUUUUAAGGAUCGAAUCCGAAGCGAAAGCGAGUCUGAAUAGGGCGACAUAGUCAG